GUGAGGAAUAUUGGUCAAUGGCCGAGAGGCUGAACCAGCCAAGUCGCGUGAAGGAAGAAGGAUCUAUGGUUUGUAAACUUCUUUUAUAGGGGAAUAAAGUGGAGGACGUGUCCUUUUUUGUAUGUACCCUAUGAAUAAGCAUCGGCUAACUCCGUGCCAGCAGCCGCGGUAAUACGGAGGAUGCGAGCGUUAUCCGGAUUUAUUGGGUUUAAAGGGUGCGUAGGUGGUGAUUUAAGUCAGCGGUGAAAGUUUGUGGCUCAACCAUAAAAUUGCCGUUGAAACUGGGUUACUUGAGUGUGUUUGAGGUAGGCGGAAUGCGUGGUGUAGCGGUGAAAUGCAUAGAUAUCACGCAGAACUCCGAUUGCGAAGGCAGCUUACUAAACCAUAACUGACACUGAAGCACGAAAGCGUGGGGAUCAAACAGGAUUAGAAACCCCAGUAGUCC
rnacentral:rRNA from 1 species